CAGCCGCCGCGGGAAUACGAAGGGGGCUAGCGUUGCUCGGAAUGACUGGGCGUAAAGCGUGCGUAGGCGGCUUUUUAAGUCGGAUGUGAAAUCCCUGAGCUUAACUUAGGAAUUGCAUUCGAUACUGGGAAGCUAGAGUAUGGGAGAGGAUGGUAGAAUUCCAGGUGUAGCGGUGAAAUGCGUAGAGAUCUGGAGGAAUACCGAUGGCGAAGGCAGCCAUCUGGCCUAAUACUGACGCUGAGGUACGAAAGCAUGGGGAGCAAACAGGAUUAGAUACCCCGGUAGUCCCUGUCUCUUAUAC
rnacentral:rRNA from 1 species